CAGAUUUGUGAGCAAUAUUUGAGACUAAUGGGUCUUUUGUGUUUGUAGAAAAUGUUUCAGAUCUUUGAGUUCAGCUCAUUGAAAAUGGGAGCAAAAAUAAAAGUGUUGUGUUUAUAUUUUUGUUCAGUGUAGUUUAUAAAGAUCCUGCUUACAAGCAAGUUGUGAGACUGAGAAUGGAGAAAAACAACAAUCAGGAUCUGAAUGACCCUGCAGUGAUGGCAGCCAUGCUGGAACAGUUCAAACAGAAGCUGAAGAAUAACGGCGUAAAAGGAGACAUCAAACUGAGCUGGAGGAAGCAGUCAGACGGGGAGGUCUUCCACAGCGAUGAAAAGGAAACAAAGAAGAACACAGCCUGUAAAAAUUAGUUUUGCAGGUUGUGUUCAUGUAUUGUUUGGUGUGGGUGGUUCUUUUGUUUUUGUUUGUUUUGUAGAGCACAAUAUAGUAAUAAACGUGUUUGUGUUCUAGUUUUACUGUUAUUCUGCAUUUAGGAGUUUGAUUUUCUCGUGUAUUUCUGGAUUCAUGUUUUGAUAUCUUUAUUCUGGUAGACUGUAGUAGUAAAGUUUACAGUAGUAAACUUUGAUUAUUAGGACAUCACUCAGACUUUUAGUUUUAUUUUCAUGUUAUGGUUAUUGAUGAGUUUAGUUCCUGUGUUCUGGUUUAUGUCUGUUAGUAGGAGUUCUUGGUUUCUUUCAUGUAUCUGUGACUGUUCCUCUUGUGUCUGUGUAAAUAUCUCAGCACUUCGGUGUUCUCUACUCAGGCAUCUUAUCGAGGCCACGUCCACACUAAUACGUUUUCAUUUGCAAAGGCAUCUUUUUCUCUCCGUUUUGGCCUUCCGUCCACACUGACACGCGUUUUUGGACUAGGAAAACGGAGCUUUUUGAAAACGCUCUCCAAAGUGGAUACAUUUGAAAACGGCGUUUUUGGGUCGCAGUGUGAAAAGCGAAAACGGAGGCUUUCGAAAAUGAAGACGCAACUUUGUACUUUUGUGUUACUCACAGCAAUAACUCCACCUAAUUAUCAGUCCAUUUUUUAAAAAGUGCUUUUCCUUGACAUUUUACUGCGAUGUUUCAAAGUCGUGGCAAAAUAAACAUCGGACUGAAAUGACGCAGGUCA